AUGACGGGGCAAGCUGAUGGCAUCAAGCUGGUAUGCCGGGAAGCUUUCAGUUUUAAUCUUGUUGGCAAUUCCUCGGGUAGACUUAUUGGUUCUGAAUCCAAAGUGCAUGGUGGGACUGAAGAGUUUGACUCUUCGAAUCAGAGGAAACCAAGGCUAGCACCUAGCAUAAUCCCCACAAGAACUUGGGUUCAUGCAGUAAUAUUUUCUGGACCCAUGAUGGGACUGAAGAUUUUACUUUUAUUUGAUGAUGAACUACACCUCUUCCAAAAACACCCAACCCAAAUGGCAGCCCUAGACUAUCUCGUUUCUGUCAUAGGUCAAUGGGCUUCCACAUCGAUGAUGUAUGGAUGUGGGGUCUUCCUUUACGUGAUGUUGGAUGGUACCUACCCUUUUGAGGAUCCAGAAGAUCACAAGAAUUUCAAAAUGAAAGUUCAGUGCUCAUUUUCGGACUUCCACCUUAUGAAUCAGUUUACCAAGAUGUGGAUGGUCAGGAGAUGCGAGCCCAACAAAGAAAAAGGGAAAUGCUUAUGGGAAAGCUUGGCUGAGUUUCAACUAUCUAUUGCCGUGGUGGAUGAGACUCAGUGGUCAUGGGAGACUACUGGCAUCUUCUGGGUGAGAUCUGUUUAUAUAUGCAGCAUGCUUUGCAUGAAGGAAGGUGAUAUCUACAGCAAGGUUGGCGUGGACCUAAAGUUUUGUAGUCGGGUGGGAAAGCAUGUGGGCAAGAGAGAUGGUUUUGGGUUGGCCACAGUUGCCAGACGCAGGCGUGGUAGCGGUCCGGAUGCCCGCAAAGUCCCCCACUUUGUGUCCAGUUUGCAGAAAAAAUCCGGGUCAUACAUGAAACGCCCUAAUGCCUGCGUUGCUGAUGCUUUCCAGGGGCUGGAUGGCCACCUCCAACCUCGCCUCUCUGCAGUAGCCCGCUCUGAACCUGCUGAUCUCAGGGAGGAGCUGGUGGCUUUCUCGGCGAGGGCGGCGUACCAGGCUGCUGUGGCAAUCCACGAGCUAGAUGCGUUUUCACCCACCAUCUGGCGCAGCUUUGCCCCGGGGAACUGCAAGUUCUUCUUAUGGUUGUGCCACCGUUGGCGCCUCCCGUGCGCCGCCCUGCUCCAUCGAAGACAUAUCAUUGACAGCGCUGCCUGCGCGUUUUGCGGUCAGGAGGAGACCCUGGUACAUUUGCUGUUCGGGUGUAGGCAUGCUUGCGCCGUUUGGGCCGUGAUUCAAGAUGGCAACGGGGACGAAACCCAAUGGGUUUUGCCUUCCCAAACCCAUCCCCACGAGAAAAUCGUAAACCCGUCCCCAUCCCCAUCACCAUGCGCGGGGCUAGUUUUCCGCCCGUCCUCUAAACCCAUCGGAAUUCUUGGUUUGGCCUUCGACGUUGGGGGGUGGGGGCUCGGUCGCUCAGGCUCGAUAGCUUUGGUUUGGGCCGCACCGGAUCAGUGCUUGGUAAAAAAAUGUAUUUUGCCGGGUUUGCCGGGUUUCGGGUUCGGGGACUGCCAAAACGGGUGCAAACCCACGAAACAUGUCGGGUUGUAUAAUGUGCCUAAUAACAGCCCCACGGGGAUGAAAAUACGCCCAUCCCCGUCCCCUAAUAGGAUCUUCCCACUGCCUUUUGUUGCAGUUUGUACAGACCUCUCCCCCACUCUCCUGUGUCUCCCUCUCCCUGUAAGUCCGGUUGGAACUGAUGAUAUGGAAAAUUCAGGUGGGCAGUCUUUCUCUGCCCCCUGGUGA
rnacentral:rRNA from 1 species